rnacentral:snRNA from 1 species
GGAUGUGAGGGCGAUCUGGCUGCGACAUCUGUCACCCCAUUGAUCGCCAGGGUUGAUUCGGCUGAUCUGGCUGGCUAGGCGGGUGUCCCCUUCCUCCCUCACCGCUCCAUGUGCGUCCCUCCCGAAGCUGCGCGCUCGGUCGAAGAGGACGACCAUCCCCGAUAGAGGAGGACCGUUCUUCGGUCAAGGGUAUACGAGUAGCUGCGCUCCCCUGCUAGAACCUCCAAACAAGCUCUCAAAAAAUGGCUGGGAGCAUGGCUCAAUGAUACAAUACUUGCCUAGAGAGCACAAGGCUCUGAGUUCAA